GAGUAAGUAGCUCAGAGGGAGAGCACUUCCUUGUCAUGGUAGGGGUCACAGGUUGAAUUCAUGUCAACCGCACCG
rnacentral:tRNA from 1 species